rnacentral:tRNA from 1 species
AUAAAGUAAGCUAAUUUAAGC